rnacentral:piRNA from 1 species
UAAUACAGAUACACUCAUCGC